UAUUUAUUUUUUUGGAUGGUUGUGCUUCUAGUCCAUGGGGUUUUGGAUCAUGACUAGAUCCACACUCAUCCAAAAAGAGGAUUU
rfam:Strigamia maritima strain Brora ctg7180001234440, whole genome shotgun sequence.